rnacentral:rRNA from 1 species
GAUGAACGCUGGCGGCGUGCCUAACACAUGCAAGUCGAGCGAUUCUCUUCGGAGAAGAGCGGCGGACGGGUGAGUAACGCGUGGGUAACCUGCCCUGUACACACGGAUAACAUACCGAAAGGUAUGCUAAUACGGGAUAACGUAAGAAAUUCGCAUGUUUUUCUUAUCAAAGCUCCGGCGGUACAGGAUGUACCCGCGUCUGAUUAGCUAGUUGGUGAGGUAAUGGCUCACCAAGGCAACGAUCAGUAGCCACCCUGAGAGGGUGAUCGGCCACAGUGGAAAUGAGCCACGGGCCAAACUCCAACGGCAAGCAGCAGUGGGUAAUAUUGCACAAUGGGAGAAAGGAUGAUACAGCAACGCCGCGUGAGCGAUGAAGGCCUACGGGUCGUAAAGCUCUGUCCUCAAGGGAGAUAAUGACGGUACUUGAGGAGGAAGCCCCGACUAACUACGUGCCAGCAGCCGAAGUAA